CCUACGGGGUGCUGCAGUCGAGAAUUAUUCACAAUGGGGGAAACCCUGAUGGUGCGACGCCGCGUGGGGGAAUGAAGGUCUUCGGAUUGUAAACCCCUGUCAUGUGGGAGCAAAUUAAAAAGAUAGUACCACACGAGGAAGAGACGGCUAACUCUGUGCCAGCAGCCGCGGUAAUACAGAGGUCUCAAGCGUUGUUCGGAAUCACUGGGCGUAAAGCGUGCGUAGGCUGUUUCGUAAGUCGUGUGUGAAAGGCGCGGGCUCAACCCGCGGACGGCACAUGAUACUGCGAGACUAGAGUAAUGGAGGGGGAACCGGAAUUCUCGGUGUAGCAGUGAAAUGCGUAGAUAUCGAGAGGAACACUCGUGGCGAAGGCGGGUUCCUGGACAUUAACUGACGCUGAGGCACGAAGGCCAGGGGAGCGAAAGGGAUUAGAUAUCCUUGUAGUC
rnacentral:rRNA from 1 species